GCUCAAGCGCAGUGUUGGCCUGCUGAGGGGGAACGACCUGCAUUUGGCAACGCUGAUCACGGACCGACAUCGCCAGGUUGCCAAAUGGGUGAGAGAGGAGCUGAUCCCUGAAGGGACACAGCAUUAUUUUGACGUGUGGCACAUUGCCAAAAGUCUGGGGAAGGCAUUGGAUGCAGCAUCCAAAGAGUGUGACCAACUACAGUUGUGGAGGCCAGCUAUAGUGAAUCACCUCUAUUGGACUGCAGCCUCAACCCCAGAUGGCAACCCAGCGGUC